GCAGCAGCCGCGGUAAUACGUAGGGUGCGAGCGUUGUCCGGAAUUAUUGGGCGUAAAGGGCUCGUAGGCGGUUUGUCGCGUCGGGAGUGAAAACGCCGUGCUUAACACGGCGCUUGCUUUCGAUACGGGCAGACUAGAGGUAUUCAGGGGAGAACGGAAUUCCUGGUGUAGCGGUGAAAUGCGCAGAUAUCAGGAGGAACACCGGUGGCGAAGGCGGUUCUCUGGGAAUGACCUGACGCUGAGGAGCGAAAGUGUGGGGAGCGAACAGGAUUAGAUACCCUGGUAGUCCACACCGUAAACGUUGGGCGCUAGGUGUGGGGUCCAUUCCACGGAUUCCGUGCCGCAGCUAACGCAUUAAGCGCCCCGCCUGGGGAGUACGGCCGCAAGGCUAAAACUUAAAGGAAUUGGCGGGGG
rnacentral:rRNA from 1 species